rnacentral:rRNA from 1 species
GCAUUCAACGAGCCUAGCCUUGGCCGAGAGGCCCGGGUAAUCUUUGAAACUGCAUCGUGAUGGGGAUAGAUUAUUGCAAUUAUUAAUCUUCAACGAGGAAUGCCUAGUAAGCGCAAUUCAUCAGAUUGCGUUGAUUACGUCCCUGCCCUUUGUACACACCGCCCGUCGCUCCUACCGAUUGGGUGUGCUGGUGAAGUGUUCGGAUUGGCAUCUGGGGGCGGUCUCCGCUUCCUGACGCCGAGAAGUUCAUUAAACCCUCCCACCUAGAGGAAGGAGAAGUCGUAACAAGGUUUCCGUAGGUGAACCUGCGGAAGGAUCAUUGAAUCGAUCGAAUCCACUCUGGUAACCAAACGUCCCCCCCUUGGUGGCAGGGCUUGCCUUGUCCCAUGGGCGCCGGUCCCCUGGCUGGGGCCUUCGGGCCGCAGUUAGGUCCGGCGGGUGUCCCUCCGAUGCUGGGGCUUUUGCCCCUCUUCGGUUGGUGAUGCUGGAAAUUUAUAUUCAACUCAACCCACCCCAAACCUCAAAUCAAUCUGAAGCUGUCUUGUGUCACGCCUCGGCGUAGCACUCUAACCAAAGACAACUCUCAACAACGGAUAUCUUGGCUCCCGUAUCGAUGAAGAACGCAGCGAAAUGCGAUACGUAGUGUGAAUUGCAGAAUUCCGUGAACCAUCGAAUCUUUGAACGCAAAUUGCGCCCAAGGCUUCGGCCGAGGGCAUGUCUGCCUCAGCGUCGGCUUACCCCCUCACCCUCCCAAUCCCUGUGAUUGGGCAGAGUGGAUCUGGCCCUCCCGGCUCCGUUCCAACUUGUUGGCACGCCCGGGUCGGCUGAAGUGUAGAGGCUUGAGCAUGGACCCCGUUUGUAGGGCAAUGGCUUGGUAGGUAGCCUUUGGUUACAUCGCCUGCCGUUGUCCGAGGGGACUUUGCUUGCGGCCCAGCAGGAAUUUGGUGCGUGCGGUUCUACCGUCGCCCAAAUGCUUCACACCUUCGACCUGAGCUCAGGCAAGAUAACCCG